rnacentral:misc_RNA from 1 species
UGUGGGAGCGGGCUUGCUCGCGAAGCUUUUAGCGUCAGUGAUGACGCCUUCGCGAGCAAGCCCGCUCCCACA